UUCAUGUGGUUAGCAGUUAGCGCAGUUAAGAAUCGUAGGGGAAAAAAAACCCUCCGUACCCGCAGGUGGGACAGUUCGGGAAUUGCGCCUGCGUUGCGCCUGCGCGGUCAGCAGUGAAGCUGGGAUGGGGAGCGCCGCUAGAGUCCCUGGCCUUUGUCCCGCACGCUGACCUGCUCGCAGCUGAGCCUCCCCCUCGCGUGACUGUCGGUCCACCUGCACGACGGGUUGGGGCCUGAGUCCAGGAGUCUGUCUCCCGCCUCGGCCCCUCAAACCCUGGAGUUUUGCUCCCCUCCCCGCCCCGUCCCCCGGCCCCUGGCAAGGGCCUGCUCUGCGUCUCUGAGGGUGAGAGCGAUUCCGCACGUCGGGUGGCCAAGGAAGAGCAGAGACGGAGUCGGACACCUGGCCCCUGAGAAGGGAGCUCGGACGCCCCCUAUUCCCUGCAGGGGGUCUGCAGAUUCCAGUGUUUCUGCACACACUCCAGGUGCUAGUGCAGCGCGGACGGUUUUCUCUUGAGAGGCCCCGGGCCUCCAGCUGCUUCGCCAGAGACACCAGGGGCCGGGACUCCAGCAGUGGACACAGCCUGGGAGAGAGACCAGCUGCCAGGAGGACCUUGCAUCGCCCACAGGGGGUCAAAGGUCUGAGCAUCUCUGUCCAGUGUAGUGUGGACUGUCUUCCUCUGCCUGCAGCCAGUGGAGUGCAGCAGAGCCCACGAGUACAAGGCAGGUGACCGUGAAGCCACAACCAGGAGGCGAGCCACAGCUGCACAGGGUGAAAAUGGCCACACAGACACAUUCUCCAGUUGUGACGAGAUUUCUUUAAUGCAAGCUGGUAUGACAGCUGUCACGAUGCAUUCUAACAAAACGGUUCCAAAUGACGUAAAGGCAAGUAUGUGAGACCAGAGCCAGGUGAUGGG